rnacentral:rRNA from 1 species
UGGCGGCGUGCCUAACACAUGCAAGUCGAACGGGAAUAUAAUGGAAAGAUCCUUCGGGGUGUGGAAGCUAUAGUCUAGUGGCGGACGGGUGAGUAACGCGUGAGCAACCUGCCUUAAACAGGGGGAUAACACACCGAAAGGUGUGCUAAUGCCGCAUAAUAUCUCUAGGGGGCAUCUCUUGGGGAUCAAAGGAGCAAUCCGGUUUAAGAAGGGCUCGCGUCCGAUUAGCUAGUUGGCGAGGUAACGGCCCACCAAGGCGACGAUCGGUAGCCGACCUGAGAGGGUGAUCGGCCACAUUGGAACUGAGACACGGUCCAAACUCCUACGGGAGGCAGCAGUGGGGAAUAUUGGGCAAUGGGCGAAAGCCUGACCCAGCAACGCCGCGUGAGUGAAGAAGGCUUUCGGGUUGUAAAGCUCUGUUGUUGAGGACGAAGGAAGUGACGGUACUCAACAAGGAAGCCCCGGCUAACUACGUGCCAGCAGCCGCGGUAAUACGUAGGGGGCGAGCGUUGUCCGGAAUGACUGGGCGUAAAGGGCGUGUAGGCGGCCGAUUAAAUAGGGAGUGAAAGUCCUGCUUUCAAGGUGGGAAUUGCUUUGUAGACUGGUUGGCUGAG